AUCAGUGCCUCCCGACCCUUCUCUCGCCGGGCACAACAACCAUGGCGAUGGAUCUGCAGUGUCCGUAGCCGCUCCACCUCGGGUUCCCUGACCCUUCUUCUCUAUGCUGGGCGGAGCAACCAUGGCGGCGGAUCCGCAGCGUCCACGGCCGCUCCACCUCGGGCAGCGCGGAUCACGGCCAGCGGCCCGAUGGAGGCGGGUACCGGCGCGGUUGCUUUUCUGCCCUGCGCUCCCUCCAUGUCUCCUCCUGCGCCUCCGGUGGCCAGACGCCUCUUCCACUCCGACCUAGGGGCACCCUCAUCGUUGGCGGAUUUUAUAUUUCUCAGGUCAGCCAGUGUGCAGCCACACCUGGUCAACAUCCAGUUUCAGAAGAAUGUACAGCUGCAAGUAACCACGACGAGUAAACGAUCUUCCGUUGCCUUCCGCUCAAUUUUGUUUGGAUGAUUCCUUUCAUCGAGUCUUCGAUAAACCAAAUAGUUACUAGAGUAGUUAAUUAGGAGCCUAAUCAUGUGUAACUAUUGUGCAUCGAGUCUUCAAUAAACUAGAGCAGUUUCUACAUGCAAGAAGUAUCGAAUAGUAUUUGUUCUUGUUCCAUGGAGUAGCGAGCAAGAGAGAGAGAGAGAAAGUGAAAAUUGUUUGCAGGUUAUUAUAUACAGUGCUUGUUUCUCACAGUGUGCUUUUACCUGUGAUUAUAUAUCAUCCAUUAAUUAGUUCGGUUCAAUCUGGGCAUGCUUUUAGACUUAGAAUCGAUCUUGAUUUCCUCGUGCCACCUGUAUCUGUAUAUGUGCAGCGCAGGCGAAGUCGAAUGACAAGAACCAGCUAGAUGAGGGCAUCCAUUCGAAACACAUAUCUAAUCUUCUAUGUGUGGGAUCCUUUUUCUGAUCUGAAUUUGUUGUUGGGGCGAGCUUGUUACUCUCUACAUGGAUUUCAAGUUGGAUGAGAGCUACACGCUGAGCAAGAUCUCCAUCUGGACUGGCGACGGCUUCCACAAUCUCAAGGAAAUUCCUCUUUUCGGAAGAUAGCAGCGAGGUGCCCAGUAAGAGCACACACGUAUCUCUGAAUUAUAUGUUAUGAUCCGUGCUCUAUGGUGAGAGCACAUAUCAAUUGUUUUUGAACAAUACUCAGGAACACGAGAACUACCAGCAUCUUAUGGAUAUUCAUCAAAUAACAGUACAUCAGCCAAUGUGUAUGUGGUGGUCUAAACCAAAUGUUAGGCACAAAAUGAGGAUUAUGUGCACAGUUGGUCCCUCAACUAACACAAGGGAGAUUAUCUAGGAUUUUGCUGAGGAUGACAUCAAUGUGGCUCGGCUAAUAUGUCACAUGGAGACCAUGCAUCGCACCAGAAAGUUAUUGAAUUGGUGAAAGAGUUGAGACCAUGCUUGUAGACUCUUAUGGACGAGUCAAUUAUAAGUCUGGCAUGCGCAUGCAAGCACAUGAUUUUGCUCUAUCAAUACAUAGUGUAAUCAAACCCUUUUUAUGCCGACCCUUCUUUCAUCAUAUUCCAACUUAUUUGCUCUGAUAUAAGCUAGAUUUAACAUAUUCAGGGCCCAGAAAUUAGUAUUCAAGAUUUGCCUCAUUGAAAACUGGUCAGGAGUUCACGUUCACAAUAAGCAGUGAUCCUUUCUACUACUUGAGGGAUUGAGCAAAGAUUAUCAACGGUACAGUCAAAGAAGUAACGUUGAACAUGAAAAUAAGGCACUCUGCCAGUGUGCGUGCAUGAUCCAAUAUCAUGUGUUUAAUAGUAGCCACUAUUAUGUGGAAUAGUAGCAGCUUCCUCCAUUUAUGCCAAUAUUUGAUAUACUUACCAAAGUUUUAAGGGGGGCAAUCUUAAGAAGACAUCCCAUUUUGUGCGAGAAUUUCAUACGCAUAUUAGACAAAAGAUGUAUCGGGUUUUCCUUAGGUUGCAUUGCAACACUUCAGUGUCUGCUCUUGGUUCUUUUACCAUAAAAUUUGUAAGGUCCCUUAUGUUUGAUUUAUUGUAUAAAUCAUUUGAGACAUGCCCUGCAUGCAUGAUUACUCACUAUAUUUAUGUUCAUGUGAUAUUAUGUUCCUGAAUC